ACUGGAAACCGGAGCUAAUACCGGAUAAUAUUUCGAACCGCAUGGUUCGAUAGUGAAAGAUGGUUUUGCUAUCACUUAUAGAUGGACCCGCGCCGUAUUAGCUAGUUGGUAAGGUAACGGCUUACCAAGGCGACGAUACGUAGCCGACCUGAGAGGGUGAUCGGCCACACUGGAACUGAGACACAGUCCAGACUCCUACGGGAGGCAGCAGCC
rnacentral:rRNA from 1 species